rnacentral:rRNA from 1 species
UACGUAGGUGGCAAGCGUUGUCCGGAAUUAUUGGGCGUAAAGCGCGCGCAGGUGGUUCUUUAAGUCUGAUGUGAAAUCUCGCGGCUCAACCGCGAGCGGUCAUUGGAAACUGGGGAACUUGAGUGCAGAAGAGGAAAGUGGAAUUCCACGUGUAGCGGUGAAAUGCGCAGAUAUCAGGAAGAACACCCGUGGCUAAGGCGGCUCUCUAGUACGGUACUGACGCUGAGACGCGAAAGCGUGGGGAGCGAACAGG